GGAGGACCGAACCCAUACACGUUGCAAUGUGUCGGGAUGACUUGUGGCUAGGGGUGAAAGGCCAAUCAAACCCGGAAAUAGCUGGUUCUCCGCGAAAUCUAUUUAGGUAGAGCGUCUCGUGAAUACCCAUGGGGGUAGAGCACUGGAUGGGCUAGGGGGUCCCAACGACUUACCAAACCUAACCAAACUCCGAAUACCAUGGAGUAAUGCGAGGCAGACACACUGCGGGUGCUAAGGUCCGUAGUGAAGAGGGAAACAGCCCUGACCGCCAGCUAAGGUCCCUAAGUUAUCACUAAGUGGGAAACGAUGUGGGAGUGCUUAGACAACCAGGAGGUUGGCUUAGAAGCAGCCAUCCUUUAAAGAAAGCGUAAUAGCUCACUGGUCAAGCGAGUCUGUGCCGAUAAUGUAACGGGGCUAAGCACUUCACCGAAGCUAGGGGCUCUCGUAAGAGAGCAGUAGGGGAGCAUUCUGUAGGUCAGUGAAGAUGAGUCGUGAGGCUUGUUGGAGAUAUCAGAAGAGACUCUGCCAGCAUUAGUAACGAAAAGACGGGUGAGAACCCCGUCCGCCGAAAACCCAAGGGUUCCGGGGCAAGGUCAAUCCGCCUCGGGUAAGUCGGCCCCUAAGGCGAGAGCGAAAGCUGUAGUCGAUGGGAAUCCGGUUAAUAUUCCGGAACCAUUUGUUGUCGUUGACGAAGCGAGGACGCAGGAAGGUAGUGCUACGGGGUGAUGGAAAUCCCCGGGAAAGCAUGUAGGCAGAUGGCUUAGGCAAAUCCGGGCUGUCAAUGCUGAGAUGUGAGACGACACGGGAACUUGUUCCUGUGGAGUGCAUGAUCCUCGACUGCCGGGAAAAGUCGCUAAGGAGACAACAGAUGACCGUACCGUAAACGGACACACGUGGGUGAGGAGAGAAUCCUCAGGCGUUUGAGAGAACUCAAGCUAAGGAACUCGGCAAAUUAGCCCCGUAACUUCGGGAGAAGGGGUGCCCUUUUUGGUGUAGGACUUCGCGUCCGAAGCUGAAGAGGGUCGCAGUGAAAAGUCCCAGGCGACUGUUUACCAAAAACACAGGACUCUGCUAAGUCGAAUACGACGUAUAGGGUCUGACGCCUGCCCGGUGCCGGAAGGUUAAAAGGAGGAGUGAGAGCUCCGAAUUGAAGCCCCGGUAAACGGCGGCCGU
rnacentral:rRNA from 1 species